UAUAUAUAUAUGUCCAUGUGUGUGUCUGUAGGUAUUUGUGUGUAUAUGUUUGUGUCAAUGUAUCAAAGUAUGUAUCUGCAUGUGUGUCAUGUGUGUGAACAUUUGUGUGCAUACUUGCCAAAACAUGUCCCAGGAAAUAUUAUUCCAUUGUUGGCAACUAUAUAACGGGGGAACAUAUGCAAAAUGUUCACUAAUACUUAACUGAACCUCUCUCUAU